rnacentral:rRNA from 1 species
UACGGCUCAGUAACACGUGGACAACCUACCCUCAGCACGGGGAUAAACCCGGGAAACUGGGUAUAAUACCCGAUAGUUCUGGUAUGCUGGAAUGCUAUCAGGACGAAAGCUCCGGCGACUGAGGAUGGGUCUGCGGCCUAUCAGGUAGUAGUGGGUGUAAUGUACCUACUAGCCUACGACGGGUACGGGUCGUGAGAGCGAGAGCCCGGAGAUGGAUUCUGAGACACGAAUCCAGGCCCUACGGGGUGCAGCAGGCGCGAAAACUUUACAAUGCUGGCAACAGCGAUAAGGGGACCUCGAGUGCCAGGAUACAAUCUUGGCUGUCGUAAUGCCUAAAAAGCAUUGCAUAGCAAGGGCCGGGCAAGACCGGUGCCAGCCGCCGCGGUAACACCGGCGGCUCGAGUGGUAACCGCUAUUAUUGGGUCUAAAGGGUCUGUAGCCGGCCGGAUAAGUCUCUUGGGAAAUCCAGCAGCUCAACUGUUGGGCUUUCAGGAGAUACUGUUCGGCUCGGGGCCGGGAGAGGUGAGAGGUACUUCAGGGGUAGGGGUGAAAUCUUGUAAUCCUUGAAGGACCACCAGUGGCGAAGGCGUCUCACCAGAACGGUCCUGACGGCAAGGGACGAAAGCUAGGGGCACGAACCGGAUUAGAUACCCGGGUAGUCCUAGCCGUAAACGAUACUCGCUAGGUGUCAGCCACGGUGCGACCGUGGUUGGUGCCGUAGGGAAGCCGUGAAGCGAGCCACUUGGGAAGUACGACCGCAAGGUUGAAACUUAAAGGAAUUGGCGGGGGAGCAC